GGGUUGCGGACAGUGUCUGGUGGGUAGUUUGACUGGGGCGGUCUCCUCCCAAAGCGUAACGGAGGAGCACGAAGGUUAGCUAAUCCUGGUCGGACAUCAGGAGGUUAGUGCAAUGGCAUAAGCUAGCUUGACUGCGAGCGUGACGGCGCGAGCAGGUGCGAAAGCAGGUCAUAGUGAUCCGGUGGUUCUGAAUGGAAGGGCCAUCGCUCAACGGAUAAAAGGUACUCCGGGGAUAACAGGCUGAUACCGCCCAAGAGUUCAUAUCGACGGCGGUGUUUGGCACCUCGAUGUCGGCUCAUCACAUCCUGGGGCUGAAGUAGGUCCCAAGGGUAUGGCUGUUCGCCAUUUAAAGUGGUACGCGAGCUGGGUUUAGAACGUCGUGAGACAGUUCGGUCCCUAUCUGCCGUGGGCGCUGGAGAAUUGAGGGGGGCUGCUCCUAGUACGAGAGGACCGGAGUGGACGCAUCACUGGUGUUCGGGUUGUCAUGCCAAUGGCACUGCCCGGUAGCUAAAUGCGGAAGAGAUAAGUGCUGAAAGCAUCUAAGCACGAAACUUGCCCCGAGAUGAGUUCUCCCUGAGACUUUAAGUCUCCUGAAGGAACGUUGAAGACGACGACGUUGAUAGGCCGGGUGUGUAAGCGCAGCGAUGCGUUGAGCUAACCGGUACUAAUGAACCGUGAGGCUUAACCUUACAACGCCGAAG
rnacentral:rRNA from 1 species